AAUGCUGGAAUUAUGGGAAUGGAAUGAAAGCCCAGGAUACCUCAGGAAAUAAAUGCUACUUUCUCUCUGUAGAGGAAUUAAUUCACCAGAUACCUGGGAGAGGACACUCCGCCCUUGGACUUCAUGCCACGUGGAGGACAUCAAGCUGGCCAGACUCCAGCUAGGACGAAAGUUGUUACUUUGAGCGCUGUUUUCUGAAGAACCUUGUGAGAUGCGGGAUGUGCCUUCCCCUGACACUGAGGCUUGCAAGUCAGUCUGGUGCCUUGAAAAUUGUGCUGAUCGGUCAUAAUACACGUGUAGCAACAAUUUGAGGAUGGAGAAUGCCCCUGUCUUGUUUCUUCAUUGACCUUAGAGGGAGCCUAAGCAGAUACCUGAGGCUCAGCAUCUGAUUUUUACAAAAAAGAACCUAGACAAUUUUGAAAACUCAGUUGCAUGUCCAGUUGCACCACUGAAAACUAGACCUUGGGUGGACUGCUUCUUGCAGCUCAAGAAGGCUCUGAAGGCCUGAACCUGCUCUCCCCAUGUGUCAGCUCAAUCUCUUCACCUCUUUGAACUGAAUAAGACCUCUCCCAGAUGUUUUUUGUACUGAAAAUUUCAAUUCUUCUACGUUGCUGAGAAGAGAGUAGAACAGUCACCACCCAUCAACCUACGUCCUAUUCCCAAGAAUGCAGGUGGCAGGUCCAUAUUUCCCUGGAGAGCCCAGGUGUCUUACAGCUAGGACCUCAGAGAAAAAGAGCAGAACAUCUCUCAAAGGAAAGGCAAAUGUGACUUGGCACCUCUGUGUGUUGCUGGCUGAAAUGGAGCCCUUCCUUUCAGAGAGGUGGGAAGCACAUGCAUGUGUCGAAGAAGAGAAAGAACAGAGACUACUUGAAAAGGAAAAUGCCCUGAUGCACUAAGAAAAAGCAGACUUUGUUCCUCAGUGCAAGAUGACCCAUCUCAGGAAGGCAGAUUAGGUAAGUAGCUCAAUCAUCAGACCACUGUCUCGUUUGAGUAUCUCAGCAUACAAAAUGUUCUCCUACUUUGGCAUUUGUGCUAGUUUGAUUGGGCUGGAGAGAACUGCAGGGCAGCCCCUUUCUCUGAUGGCACAUUGAGACACUUCAGCCCAAGAAACAGGAGAAUGCCC
rnacentral:lncRNA from 1 species